AGCGGGGUAAAGCCAGAG
rnacentral:snRNA from 1 species